UUGUUUAUUAAUUUUAAUAGCAUGUUGCUCAAUUUGAUAAAUCCUUUUGUGUGUUUUUUGAAUUAGGGUUUUGAUUGUGUAGCCUUGACAUUGCUGGAUUGUCCCCUUCUUUUUGGCAUUGGCGAAUUUUAGUAUUUGGGUCUUAACAGAUUUAAUUGUGAUUUCCUGUUUUCUUUAAUAUGUGGCUUUAGUUUUAUCUGGGUUUGGCAUUAUUUAUGUGUUGUUAAUUAUUUAUCUCAUUGUAUACGUUUUCCCUGAAUUUAUCUAUUUUUUUGUGGUUAGUGGCUAAUUUGAGAUUCAUGAUUAGGGUAAUUUGAGAGUUUCAUUACUUCAGUAUGCAUUUUGUUUAUUAGUUUUUCUCCUUUGGACAAUGCAUUUUAUUUUUAUGGGGUUGUAUGGAAACAUUACUAUGGGGUGGUUACAAAAAUUAUAUGAACAUAGAUUUUGUUUAGCUUGGGGCAAGUGUAAAUGUGGUAAGCACUAGGAAUUUAGAUUUUUUGCCCCCAGAAUGGAGGUAGUACAGAUGGGGAAUGUUUGUCAGACAAACAGAGACAGAUAGGAUUUCUACGUGGGGAACAGCAAGAAAUUGGUAUAAGGUGUCACUGAAUGCCUGCAACCAUUUCUUUUGAUAGGCAAGGAUCAACAAGGCUAGAUUGAAUGAACCCCAACAGAAUCCAAGUUUAUUGGUGGGAUUAAUUUUAGAUCCCUAAUGAUAGGAAAGAGAUGGGAAAGGAAUAAUGAAAAGCUACAGGAAAAAGAAUUUCUGUAUCCAAGAGAGCUCAAACUGUCAAAAAGAAAAAAUGUCCUGAAAGCAGCAGGUUCUUAUUCUAAUAGCCUUCGCAGUCAACACAUGUAAAAAAAAUGGGGAACGGUCUCUUCGAGUUUCACCUUUGAAACCUCAUGCCAAAAAAUUAAAAAAAAAAAAUGAUUUCUUUCACUUAAUAUGCACCAGGCGACAUUCCAUCAAUGAAGUGCCAUGUAAGCCCCUCCUUCCCCUCAUAUUCUCCCUCCUUCAUCAGAAGCAUUUUCCUACCCUCCUCCAACCUCCCCACUGGAAGUCCCUCUGCAACUUCUCCAAGAGACAGGGAUGAUAAAGAUGAAUAUAACAUAGACUGAAAUGCUUGAAUGGGUACUCUUGAUAAGAGUUAUCAUCCCUCUGUUUGACUGAUACAGCCUCUUCCUAUUUGUCAACCUUCUUUCCACUCUUUCCAUGCCAAAUCCUAAACUGCUUUAGAUUUUUUAGAGGCCCCAAAGGAAAGCACAAUAAUCUUGUAGUGGGUAUUUUUCUCAUCUUACCCCUUAUGUUGGCUGUAGAAAGUGAACAUUUCCCACCAAAUCCACUACAGUGAUAAUGUGUUAGUCUGCACGAUACAGUUGUUAAUUGUGUCCCUAGGUGCAAAAAAAGAAAAAACCUAGUAAACCUUUUGACUCUUUUUCAAACUGUCAAAUGGGUCAUUGGGUCCGAUCACAUAAUGCUGCAGUGUCAUGCAACAUAGCUUAGCAAUCCUCGUUUGAAAUUAUUUUGUAAAUUUUUUUUACCUGAAAUUAUCCUUACUAUUUUUUUCCUCAAAAUUUUUCACUAAGGUUGUUGUCUUGUAAGAUUUCUAUUUGUUUUCUUCCCCAAAAUUCUUCUUUUACUUUGACUUCUGCAUUAGUGUUGUAUAUCUUGCCUAUACAUGGUUAAUGACCAAUACUAUAUUUUUAGUCAGCUUUGGCUAAUCUAAUGCUCUUUUUUUUUUUUUUCCAUAUUGAUCGGGCCCUUUGCAUUACUGCAUUAUUAAAAUUUUAUAAUUUUAUCUUUAUUGAAAUUGAACACAUUGAUUGUGCCUCACUCAGCUCAGGCAAUAGGCCUUGGUCUGUGUUUUGUGACUAGGCUUCAGCAUACUUUUGCUCCUUAGGUGUGCCUUAGGUGUUAAUAAGCAUGCUGCAUGAUCAUACCUUGUGUUAAAAGUAGUCAUCAUCGUCAUUUAAAUGCCAAUUUGUUUGUUUAAUUUGGCAAUGAAAGGUUUUUUCUCUUCUCUGCUUUCAAUGGAUUAUAUAAUGUCUUUAGAUUGGCUAGGUUUCCUUGGUUAUUAGAUCUCUUCAAUAUAUAUGGAUGGUCUAUAUUAAAAACCUUCUUAAUUUGUGGUUUGAAGGGGAUUUUGUUUUCGUUUGUUUGGGAGGGGGGUUGUUGUUGUAUUAUUAUCGGGGAUCUUAUCUAGCUUAACUCAUAUGUUUGUUAUCCUUAGCAGUGUUUUCUAUGUCUCCUUGUUACAGCUUAGAGAACAUAUGAAAUGUGAUUUUAUUCUUGGUUUUGGCAUCAAUUUUGAUAACAGGUGAAUUUAAAUGGAAGGGCCAAAAUUGUUAAGCGCUAAUUUUGAGAUUUCAGGAUGUUAAAUUUCUAUGAUGCAUCGCAUUCUAACAAGACACAAGGAAUUUUGAAUUUUAUUGAAAUUUGAGUUUGGAAGAAUAAGCUAUCUAACAUGAUUACAGUUUUAUCAUGAGGCACACAAACAGCCUGUUUCUCCACUUGGCUCGGCUCUGCUCAGCUUGUUUACUUCCCACCUUAAGAUGUUGGUUUCACUGAAGAAGUUCUUAGUCACAAGAUUUGUGCUGAUUUGAAGAUUCCACUCUUGACAUGGUGAGCGGUGAGCCUAUCUUGAGGGUUCUAAAUUGAGCAUCUCGAGGAUACACCUCACACCACGGUGCUGCCAAAAAUAUGUGGAGAAGAUGGAUGCUAUGAGAGUUUUUGGUGGAGAAUAACUGGUGGGUCUUUUUAUUCUUCAAACAGUUGGGAUCUUUGAAGAAAUGGUCAUAGAAACCAUGGGUUGUAGCUCAAGCGUAAUGAGGAAAUGUUAUCUUUUGCAAUCUAAUGGUUUCCCCUGACGCUUAGGCCUAUCCCAUCAAAAAUUCCAACUCCAGACUUUAAGAACAAAACGUAAAUUUUCUUUUUUCUUUUUAAUUUUUUUCCUGAUGCUCGUUAGUUAUUGAAAGGAAGGAAGAUGUCAUGUCAAAACAUCAAAUGGGUCAUCCGAAGGUGGAGUAGGAUCUUGGAAAAAACCAGUAUUUAAAAGAAACUGAUUAUUGGGUUUGAUUUCAAAUCUGGUAGCAAGCUCUACCUUAAGAAAGCAGGGCCAACACUCCAUUUUCAAGACUUGGCUUUUUUUUAUUCUCAAGAGGAUGUGAUCCUAUGUGAUGUUUUACAUUCGAUGUUGUCCUUUAAGAAAAGUGGCUUUGCAUAUGUCUGUUCCUGUAAUUGAGUAUUGAGCCUUUCAUUAAUGGGAAUGAUCUAAAAAUGUAGGCUUCUUAUAGGAUAGCUCACUUGUAGUUUGAAAAUAUGAUAUUAAUAUUAGGUAUGUCAACCUGAAGAUUGACUUUCAGAACCUUAAUAGACCCAUUUUUCAACUAAAAUACAGUUUAAAUUUUGUCAGCAGAUGUUGUCUCAUUGUGAAAGAUGCAAAUCAGAUCUUUUGAAAAAUGAACUGAAAAGAUUGGUCAAUCUUCAUAUAGAGGUGGAGGUAGAAGGGGUGGUAGACCCUUUAGAGGGGGUGGUAGAUCCUUCAGAGGUGGUG